rnacentral:rRNA from 1 species
UACGGAGGGGGCUAGCGUUGUUCGGAAUUACUGGGCGUAAAGCGCGCGUAGGCGGCCAUUUAAGUCAGAGGUGAAAGCCCGGUGCUCAACAUCGGAAUAGCCUUUGAGACUGGGUGGCUAGAAUCCAGGAGAGGUGAGUGGAAUUCCGAGUGUAGAGGUGAAAUUCGUAGAUAUUCGCAAGAACACCAGUGGCGAAGGCGGCUCACUGGCCCGAUACUGACGCUGAGGUGCGAAAGCGUGGGGAGCAAACAGG